AGAGUUUGAUCCUGGCUCAGAUUGAACGCUGGCGGCAUGCCUAACACAUGCAAGUCGAACGGUAACAGGCCUUCGGGCGCUGACGAGUGGCGAACGGGUGAGUAACGCGUAGGAAUAUACCUUUUUGUGGGGGACAACUCGAGGAAACUCGAGCUAAUACCGCAUAAUCUCUUCGGAGAAAAGCUGGGGACCUUCGGGCCUGGUGCAAAAAGAUUAGCCUGCGUCCGAUUAGCUAGUUGGUAAGGUAAAGGCUUACCAAGGCGACGAUCGGUAGCUGGUCUGAGAGGAUGAUCAGCCACACUGGGACUGAGACACGGCCCAGACUCCUACGGGAGGCAGCAGUGGGGAAUAUUGGACAAUGGGCGCAAGCCUGAUCCAGCAGCCGCGGUAAUAAGGGC
rnacentral:rRNA from 1 species